rnacentral:rRNA from 1 species
AGAGUUUGAUCAUGGCUCAGAUUGAACGCUGGCGGCAGGCCUAACACAUGCAAGUCGAGCGGUAGCACAGAGAGCUUGCUCUCGGGUGACGAGCGGCGGACGGGUGAGUAAUGUCUGGGAAACUGCCUGAUGGAGGGGGAUAACUACUGGAAACGGUAGCUAAUACCGCAUAACGUCGCAAGACCAAAGUGGGGGACCUUCGGGCCUCAUGCCAUCAGAUGUGCCCAGAUGGGAUUAGCUAGUAGGUGGGGUAACGGCUCACCUAGGCGACGAUCCCUAGCUGGUCUGAGAGGAUGACCAGCCACACUGGAACUGAGACACGGUCCAGACUCCUACGGGAGGCAGCAGUGGGGAAUAUUGCACAAUGGGCGCAAGCCUGAUGCAGCCAUGCCGCGUGUGUGAAGAAGGCCUUCGGGUUGUAAAGCACUUUCAGCGGGGAGGAAGGCGAUAAGGUUAAUAACCUUGUCGAUUGACGUUACCCGCAGAAGAAGCACCGGCUAACUCCGUGCCAGCAGCCGCGGUAAUACGGAGGGUGCAAGCGUUAAUCGGAAUUACUGGGCGUAAAGCGCACGCAGGCGGUCUGUCAAGUCGGAUGUGAAAUCCCCGGGCUCAACCUGGGAACUGCAUUCGAAACUGGCAGGCUAGAGUCUUGUAGAGGGGGGUAGAAUUCCAGGUGUAGCGGUGAAAUGCGUAGAGAUCUGGAGGAAUACCGGUGGCGAAGGCGGCCCCCUGGACAAAGACUGACGCUCAGGUGCGAAAGCGUGGGGAGCAAACAGGAUUAGAUACCCUGGUAGUCCACGCCGUAAACGAUGUCGAUUUGGAGGUUGUGCCCUUGAGGCGUGGCUUCCGGAGCUAACGCGUUAAAUCGACCGCCUGGGGAGUACGGCCGCAAGGUUAAAACUCAAAUGAAUUGACGGGGGCCCGCACAAGCGGUGGAGCAUGUGGUUUAAUUCGAUGCAACGCGAAGAACCUUACCUGGUCUUGACAUCCACAGAACUUUCCAGAGAUGGAUUGGUGCCUUCGGGAACUGUGAGACAGGUGCUGCAUGGCUGUCGUCAGCUCGUGUUGUGAAAUGUUGGGUUAAGUCCCGCAACGAGCGCAACCCUUAUCCUUUGUUGCCAGCGGUCCGGCCGGGAACUCAAAGGAGACUGCCAGUGAUAAACUGGAGGAAGGUGGGGAUGACGUCAAGUCAUCAUGGCCCUUACGACCAGGGCUACACACGUGCUACAAUGGCAUAUACAAAGAGAAG